rnacentral:rRNA from 1 species
GCCAUGCUAGUCGACGAACAGAACUAUGUCUGUAAGUGGCACACUGCUCAGUAACACGUAGCUAACCUACCCUUAGGACGUCGAUAACCCCGAGAAAUUGGGGCUAAUAAGCGAUAGAUGUGAUGUCCUGGAAUGGUAACACGUCUAAAAGUAUCUCAUACAUGUUUGAGUUACGCCUAAGGAUGGGGCUGCGGCCGAUCAGGCAGUUGGUGAGGUAAUGGCUCACCAAACCUUUGACCGGUACGGGCCAUGAGAGUGGUAGCCCGGAGAUGGACACUGAGACAAGGGUCCAGGCCCUACGGGGCGCAGCAGGCGCGAAACCUCCUCAAUGCACUAACGUGCGAAGGGGUUACCUCGAGUGCUACCUGAAGAAGGUGGCUUUUCCUUGGUCUAAAAAGCCUCGGGAAUAAGAGGGGGGCAAGACUGGUGUCAGCCGCCGCGGUAACACCAGCCCCUCGAGUGGUGGGGAUGAUUAUUUGGCCUAAAGCGUCCGUAGCCGGCCGGGUAAGUUUCCCGUUAAAUCCAGCGUCUCAAGCGUUGGACUGCGGGAAAUACUGCCCGGCUAGAGAGUGGGAGAGGUGUACGGUAUUCUGGGGGUAGGGGCGAAAUCCUUUGAUCCCCGGAGGACCACCAGUGGCGAAGGCUGUACACUAGAACACGUCUGACGGUCAGGGACGAAAGCUGGGGUAGCGAACCGGAUUAGAUACCCGGGUAGUCCCAGCUGUAAACGAUGCAUGCUAGGUGUUGGGUUGGCCACGAGCCACCCCAGUGCCGCAGGGAAGCCGUUAAGCAUGCCGCCUGGGAAGUACGAUCGCAAGAUUGAAACUUAA